rnacentral:rRNA from 1 species
CGAACGGGUGAGUAAUGCGUGACCAACCUGCCCCAUGCUCCAGAAUAGCUCUUGGAAACGGGUGGUAAUGCUGGAUGCUCCAACUUGACGCAUGUCUUGUUGGGAAAGUGUUUAGUGGCAUGGGAUGGGGUCGCGUCCUAUCAGCUUGUAGGCGGGGUAAUGGCCCACCUAGGCUUCGACGGGUAGCCGGCCUGAGAGGGCGGACGGCCACAUUGGGGCUGAGAUACGGCCCAGACUCCUACGGGAGGCAGCAGGC